rnacentral:rRNA from 1 species
GAUGAACGCUGGCGGCGUGCCUAAUACAUGCAAGUCGAGCGAACAGGCGAGGAGCUUGCUCCUCUGACGUUAGCGGCGGACGGGUGAGUAACACGUGGAUAACCUACCUAUAAGACUGGGAUAACUUCGGGAAACCGGAGCUAAUACCGGAUAAUAUAUUGAACCGCAUGGUUCAAUAGUGAAAGACGGUUUUGCUGUCACUUAUAGAUGGAUCCGCGCCGCAUUAGCUAGUUGGUAAGGUAACGGCUUACCAAGGCAACGAUGCGUAGCCGACCUGAGAGGGGGAUCGGCCACACUGGAACUGAGACACGGUCCAGACUCCUACGGGAGGCAGCAGUAGGGAAGCUUCCGCAAUGGGCGAAAGCCUGACGGAGCAACGCCGCGUGAAUGAUGAAGGUCUGCGGAUCGUAAAACUCUGUUAUGAGGGAAGAACAAAUGUGUAAGUAACUAUGCACGUCUUGACGGGACCUAAUCAGAAAGCCACGGCGAACUACGU